UACGAAGGGGGGCUAGCGUUGCUCGGAAUCACUGGGCGUAAAGCGCACGUAGGCGGACUCUUAAGUCGGUGGUGAAAUCCUGGAGCUCAACUCCAGAACUGCCUUCGAUACUGGGAGUCUCGAGUUCGGGAGAGGUGAGUGGAACUGCGAGUGUAGAGGUGAAAUUCGUAGAUAUUAGGAAGAACACCAGUGGCGAAGGCGGCUCACUGGCUCGUAACUGACGCUCAGGCGCGACAGG
rnacentral:rRNA from 1 species